AUUGAACGCUAGCGGGAUGCUUUACACAUGCAAGUCGAACGGCAGCACGAAAAGAGCUUGCUCUUUUUGGUGGCGAGUGGCGAACGGGUGAGUAAUGUAUCGGAAUGUACUCAGUAGCGGGGGAUAACUACGCGAAAGUGUGGCUAAUACCGCAUACGACCUACGGGGGAAAGGGGGGGAUCGUAAGACCUUUCACUAUUGGAUCAGCCGAUAUCGGAUUAGCUAGUUGGCGGGGUAAAGGCCCACCAAGGCAACGAUCCGUAGCUGGUCUGAGAGGACGACCAGCCACACUGGAACUGAGACACGGCCCAGACUCCUACGGGAGGCAGCAGUGGGGAAUUUUGGACAAUGGGGGAAAGCCUGAUCCAGCCAUCCCGCGUGUGCGAUGAAGGCCUUCGGGUUGUAAAGCACUUUUGGCAGGGAAGAAACGGCGCAGACUAAUACUUGGCGCAACUGACGGUACCUGCAGAAUAAGCACCGGCUAACUACGUG
rnacentral:rRNA from 1 species